CCUCUCCUGAAUGUCAUUGCUGCCGGGCCCUGCCUCACCUGGCCCCAUUCAGGCAGAGAGUUCCCCUAACAAACUCCCUUUUCAACCAAAAUGGCUCUCAGGUCAGUGAGCUGGUGAUUCAGCCAACAGAGAUGUGGAUGCCAGACACCCAGACAACCUUGAUGAUGCGGGGAUGAAUUAUGCUUCUCUCUUUUCUCCAAAGUAUGAGUGGGAUGAAGGAUGAGUGACAAGAAAGGCUGUCAGGGGCUAGCGGCCGGUAAGGAUGUAGAAACCAUCUGAAGGAGAGCUCACGGAGUAAUUUCAGAGCUGCAGCUGAGAGAAGGUAGUGGCGGAGAGAGACGAAGAGGAGAUCUUCAAGAUCAAUCGUAAUUUUAUCUGGCCUAUUCAAGUUUUCAUUCCCUUUUAUCCCAAACUCCCAGAUAAAAAUCUGUGCUUCAGAACGGGGCAGGGAAGAUAGCGGCUUUAUUAUAUUCUUCCAAAAGAGCCCACAGAGACCCCAGCUAUACCCUUUAUGACAUCCCUGUGACGUUCCCUUGCCUCCUCUUCUUUUUUAAUAUUUCUCCCCCUCUUCAGAAGUGAACAACAGGCACCAAACUAAUUAGGUGGUAUUUCAGAUCUAUGUUGGGUUAAUGGCACCAGAUCAUGUGUGACAUUU